ACCGCCGGCCGCCAGCUACACCGGAAGCCACCGCCGGCCGGCCUUCCAUCUCCGACCACAGCAGGCGCACGAAGGAAGGCACACACUACACGCAGAGGAGAAACCAAGCUCGAUCCUGGAAUCGGAAUUUCAUUUUCGUCGAUUCGAGCUUCACCAGAGGCGAAUCAACGUCGAUUCCAGUGUUCAUGACUUCGGUUGCGGAUUCCAGUGAUCGUCUGGUUGCAGUUCCGAUCGUGUGCUGUCCUGACCGCGAGGCGCUCCUUCGGCUCGUUCUUUCGCUUCAGGGAUCGGUGGAAGGUUGAGGUAAGUUCGAACCGCAUGGAAAAGGACGCCCCGGCUCAGUUGACUCCCGACCAUCACUUUCGAAUCUUCUCUCCACCGAUUGAGCUCUUCCACUUCAUUCUCUAAAUCAAGCCCAGGAGUCGUCCUCGCGUCUAAUGAAUGUACGGAUACUGCUCAGGAAGUGUUCGAUGAAAUGACCGAAAGACUCUAUCCGAUAUUUUGUCCCGUUGCUGGCCAUUAGAAUCAAUGCUAUAGCGAGGCUGUGCUCGCUGUCUUGAAAGUCACUGAGUCGCCACCAAAUCAUCAGGUCAUCUCUUCUCCAAUUAAACUUUGUUAUUGUUGUCGAUUUGUUAUAGACUCGCCUCUCUUGAUCUCCGUUCUGUUUUUAUUUUUUGUCGCCUUUCAUUUGACUGCUCUGUCCGACCUUUGUUUGGUCGUCGUGCCAAGAUACUUCUCGUCACCAAAAGCCAGAAGCGGGACUGCAACGGUAGAAGCCAAGGAGGCGCGGUCGCGACUGCUUUCGAUAAUACCGGUUGCCUUCUUCGGACCUUCCUCUGUGUACACAUUCGAGAUGGCCGGAACGGUAUUUACUCGGGAGGUUAUACGUGCUCGCUGAAGCCAUAGCACUUCGUGUAGGCCGAAGCUUAUUCUAGGAUUCCAUUUAUAGAAAGGUUCUGUGAAUAUUUUGGUCCUAAAGUGGUGGUGCGAUCAAUGGUCUUUCGCAUUGCAAGUUGAAUUUUGAAAUUCCACGAACUGGACCCCUGAUUUUUUGCUUGAAUGUGUUUAAAUCUGCCGAAUUUUUGUCGAGGUGUUGCCAGAAGAUUAUUGUUGUAGCUUUGCUAGAAUUCACUAAAAGUUUACUUGGAGUUGCCGUAAUUUGUUGGGAAUUGUUGAAACUCG
rnacentral:lncRNA from 1 species